rnacentral:rRNA from 1 species
UACAGAGGGUGCGAGCGUUGUUCGGAAUUAUUGGGCGUAAAGGGCGCGUAGGCGGUGCGGUAAGUCACCUGUGAAAUCUCCUGGCUCAACUGGGAGCUUGCAGGCGAAACUGCCGUGCUGGAGUGUGGGAGAGGUGCGUGGAAUUCCUGGUGUAGCGGUGAAAUGCGUAGAUAUCAGGAGGAACACCUGUGGCGAAAGCGGCGCACUGGACCACAACUGACGCUGAGGCGCGAAAGCGUGGGGAGCAAACAGG